UGGGGAAUAUUGCACAAUGGGCGCAAGCCUGAUGCAGCCAUGCCGCGUGUGUGAAGAAGGCCUUCGGGUUGUAAAGCACUUUCAGCGAGGAGGAAGGUGGGUGAACUUAAUACGUUCAUCAAUUGACGUUACUCGCAGAAGAAGCACCGGCUAACUCCGUGCCAGCAGCCGCGGUAAUACGGAGGGUGCAAGCGUUAAUCGGAAUUACUGGGCGUAAAGCGCACGCAGGCGGUUUGUUAAGUCAGAUGUGAAAUCCCCCGGGCUCAACCUGGGAACUGCAUUUGAAACUGGCAAGCUAGAGUCUCGUAGAGGGGGGUAGAAUUCCAGGUGUAGCGGUGAAAUGCGUAGAGAUCUGGAGGAAUACCGGUGGCGAAGGCGGCCCCCUGGACGAAGACUGACGCUCAGGUGCGAAAAGGCGUGGGGGCAGCAAAACAGGAUUAGAUACCCCUGGUAGUCCACGCUGUAAAACGAUGUCGAUUUUGGAGGUUGUGCCCCUUGAGGCGUGG
rnacentral:rRNA from 1 species